AGGGCCACAGGAAGGAACAGGAG
rnacentral:piRNA from 1 species